CUUCUUACGUCUCUGAUUAACAUUUAGGGCUUUCGUCUCGUUCUUUUAGGGUUUAUUAUUAUUGUUUGUUUUCACCUUGUCAUUGGUGCAAAGGUGUUUGAAAGCACAAAUCGUAAUUUUCUCAAUUUGUCUUUUGGGUUUUGAAAGGGGGACAAAAAUGACUAAGAUUUUAUUGUAUUUUCCGUGUAAUUUUCUUCCCGUUUUAUGCUUGUUGUUGUGCUGGUGAUCAUGGUUACCAGUUUAAAUCAAAACAUGAAAGGAAAGUCAUUCUUCUUCGUAGUUGGCAGGCAACUGGUAAAAAACGAUGUGGAUUUUUAGGUGAGGAAAUGGCGGGUAACUCAAAAGGGGUGGUGAAAAUGCAUACAAAAGAUUGCUAAAACUGUUUCUUCUCUCUCCACCCCCCCCCCCCCCCCCCCCCCCCUCUCCUCUUCUUGGUGAAUAGAUUGCCGAAACUGUUGUGCUUAAAAUUGAUGUCAUGUUUCAAGCUUUAUGUUGUGAAAUUAAGAUUCCUGCUUUGCAAACUAUGUAUUAUGUGCAUGCAAUUGUUGUUAUGUGUUUGCUCUUUUAAAUUUAAAUUGGUUGUCAAGUGAGUACUUUUCUGUAUGCUACCUGUUUCUGGAGCAAAUUGGCUGUCAAGUGAGCAUUUUCCUUUAUGCUACCUGUUUCUGAAGCAAAUUGGUUGUCAAGUUAUAGAUAAUGGAUGCCAUUGCAUAAUAGCUGUUAUGGACAAUAUAAGGAAUAUUAUUACCUGGAUGAUGUGCAUGAAUAUAGGAUGCAAUUACCUAGAUGUCAACUAUUUAAUUGUGACUUUUGAUUGUAUCCUUUUGUUAUUGUGGUUUUCCUUUUCUGUUUAAGUUAGAAACUUUGUUUUUCUUCUUAUUUUCCUCUGGAAUUUUAACACUCAGAAUUAUGCUGCUGCUGUUGUUAUUCAUAUUCCCAAGAAUGUUAAACUUGCCACUGGUUGCAGGCUUCCCUGCUGAUUUGCUUUCUCUGGCUGGUAUGUACCUAGAUGGUGUGUACUACAUUUAGGUUUCUCUGUCUUUCUUCUCCUUUUAUAUUAUGCUGCUGCUGUUGUUAUUCAUAUUCCCAAGAAUGUUAAACUUGCCACUGGUUGCAGGCUUCCCUGCUGAUUUGCUUUCUCUGGCUGGUACAUACCUAGAUGGUGUGUACUACAUUUAGGUUUCUCCAUCUUUCUUCUCCUUUUAUAUUAUGCUGCUGCUGUUGUUAUUCAUAUUCCCAAGAAUUUUGUAAACUUGCCACUGGUUGUAGGCUUCCCUGCUGAUUUGCUUUCUCUUGCUACUACAUACCUAGAUGGUGUUAUUACAUUUAGGUUCCCUGUAUUUCUUCUCGUUUUAUAUUUUUAAGAUUCAAGUCUUGUUCAUGUGAUGUAUAUAACUGUUUAACCCACCUAGUCUUUUUUGAUUCUCAGUUGUUGAAUUCAUAAAUUUGGAUGGGAACUAAUGUGAAGAUCAGAAAGGCAUCUGAAUAGACUUUGAAUUGUUCAACUCCAGAAAAAGUUUCUGAAUUUUGGUUGGCAAGGAGAGCAAGUUGCCUUCAAGCAUGCCUAAUGCGCGCUCACUUUGCAAAGCUGUAGCUUCAAAAACUGUUAGUUGUGGCCUAUGUGACAUAUGCACGGGCUGGAAGAAUACAGCAUACAAGUACUUCCUACUGCCAUGACAUUGCAAGUUAUCCUCAUUUUUCGUCAAUUUUAUAUCUUUGCUUCUUAUAUUUGGAUUUUUCUCUUAGAACUUAUCUCUUGCUUAGCUGCACAUGUACAUGUUUUUGCAAGAUAAUCGCUGAUAUUUUCUUUUUGGGUUUUUGUAGUUAUUACAGGUUGUAUUUGGCUUCACUCUCUGAACAACAGAAGACUUUUCAUGGAUGUAUCAAUAAGAAAAUGUGAGGGGUGUAUAAUUGUUGUAAAACAAGAUUUGAGUCCUGCUAUGAUAACUGUUAUUACAAAAAAAAAAAAAAAAAAAAAAAAAAGAAAUUUUUGGUGUUUGGGACAAUCACGUGGGGAUUGCCCCGGGUUCUCUUCCCUCUUGUGUGGGAUGGUGCGCUGUGUGUGUCUUUUCUUAGUCUCUCAUUUGCUUUCUUUCC